UACAGAGGUCUCAAGCGUUGUUCGGAUUCAUUGGGCGUAAAGGGUGCGUAGGAGGGCAGGUAAGUCAGUGGUGAAAUCUCCAAGCUUAACUUGGAAACUGCCGUUGAUACUAUCUGUCUUGAAUACCGUGGAGAUGAGCGGAAUAUGUCAUGUAGCGGUGAAAUGCUUAGAUAUGACAUAGAACACCAAUUGCGAAGGCAGCUCGUUACACGAAUAUUGACUCUGAGGCACGAAAGCGUGGGGAUCAAACAGG
rnacentral:rRNA from 1 species